UACGAAGGGGGCUAGCGUUGCUCGGAAUCACUGGGCGUAAAGGGUGCGUAGGCGGGUCUUUAAGUCAGGGGUGAAAUCCUGGAGCUCAACUCCAGAACUGCCUUUGAUACUGAGGAUCUUGAGUUCGGGAGAGGUGAGUGGAACUGCGAGUGUAGAGGUGAAAUUCGUAGAUAUUCGCAAGAACACCAGUGGCGAAGGCGGUCUCCUGGGGCAUUCUUGACGCUGAGGCGCGAAGGCCAGGGGAGCAAAGCAGGG
rnacentral:rRNA from 1 species